rnacentral:tRNA from 1 species
GCGCUGGAGGUGUAAUUGCGUAGAGCAUUCCCACCCGGGAAGGAGGUGCGGGUUCGAGUCCCGCCUGGCGCU